rnacentral:rRNA from 1 species
UACGUAGGUGGCAAGCGUUAUCCGGAAUUACUGGGCGUAAAGCGCACGCAGGCGGUCUUUUAAGUUUGACGUGAAAGCUCCCGGCUUAACUGGGAGAGGUCGUUGAAGACUGGAAGACUUGAGGCAAUGAGAGGGGUGUAGAAUUCCCGGUGUAGUGGUGGAAUGCGUAGAUAUAGGGGGGAAUACCAGUGGCGAAAGCGGCACCCUAGCGUUAGCCUGACGCUCAUGUGCGAAAGCGUGGGGAGCGAACGGG